GACGAACGCUGGCGGCGUGCUUAACACAUGCAAGUCGAGCGAUGAAAGCCUUAUGAACUAUUCGUAGUGAUUGAGGCCGGAUUAGCGGCGGACGGGUGAGUAACGCGUGAGCAACCUGCCUUAAACAACGGGAUAGCCUCGGGAAACCGGGAUUAAUACCGUAUGAGACCCCGCCUUCACAUGACGAAGAGGUUAAAGAUUUAUCGGUUUAAGAUGGGCUCGCGUCUGAUUAGCGAGUUGGUGAGAUAAAAGCCCACCAAGGCAACGAUCAGUAACCGGCUUGAGAGAGUGAACGGUCACAUUGGAACUGAGACACGGUCCAAACUCCUACGGGAGGCAGCAGUGGGGAAUAUUGCACAAUGGGGGAAACCCUGAUGCAGCGACGCCGCGUGAGCGAUGAAGGAAUUCGUUUCGUAAAGCUCUGUCCAAGGGGAAGAUAAUGACAGUACCCUUGGAGGAAGCCCCGGCUAAAUACGUGCCAGCCGCCGCGGUAA
rnacentral:rRNA from 1 species